ensembl:lncRNA
CCCAGCUCUGGAUAUAUGUUAAUCUAAAACAUUACAACUAAGAGAGGGCCCUGAAGCCUCUCCAGUGUUUGUUUUGUGAAGGGCAGGAUAAAUGCUCACUAAUCACUGACAGCAAGAGUGUGCAUUUGCUUUGUCUGAUUUUCCAGUUGUAUGAUCAUCCAUCAUGGCACCUGCCAAAAUGGAGUGCGCUGGGGCCUUGACCACACUGUUUUAGAGAAGGGCCACGUGUCCCGGCCACCCACUGAAGGGGCAACAACACCCUAGAGAGAGCGGAGCAGGGAAUGGGGGCAACAGCUUACUGUGGUCUGGGAAGCAGAGUGAAGCCGAACAGUUCACACAGUACACAAAGAGACAAUUAUGGAUCGCACUGGAUGGAGGGACAGCGGGAGAGAGGAGAGCGAGCGAGAGAUAAUAGAGGCUUGUCUAUCCCUGAUGGGAUGGAGAUAUUCUCCUUAAGUGUCACCCUCUUCUCACUGUAUCCAAGACUAGCAGUCAAUGUGUCCAUUAAGCAGCGUGAAUGAAUACAUGCCCACAAGCACAAGAUCGCAUUCA